UUACCUACCUCACAGGGGGGUUACUACAGUCAGAAAGUGGUUUUCCCAGCGUGAGGCUCAUUCAUUGCACACUGGAGAGUCGGACCCCAGCAAUUUCCCCCCAAGUGGGAAACCUGACCGCCUCAUUUGUGGUGGAUGAGGACUGUGUUCAUGCUUACUUCUA
ensembl:snRNA U1 U1 spliceosomal RNA